rnacentral:lncRNA from 1 species
CGACAGCAUUAAAACCAUUACAAAACAUUUAGAUCCAAAAGCAAUAACCAUUACAUUAUAAAUAUGUUCUUAUCAAAUCAACAUUGCAAUCGAAUCAGCAAAGCACUUUAUUCAAACCAAACAUGAUCAUCCAACCUAGAUAUAAUAACAACAAUCAUUAGUUUUUUCAAACUUGAUUUGGCUUCGGACGAGCAUCUUCUACCUUCUCAAAGAUUUUAUUCUCUACCUGCAUUUGGUUCUUCUCAAAAUCCAUCUCCUGGUGCUCUACAUGUUGUUCCUAAACGUUUUUGAAAGCCAAAGUCUCUAGCUCAUCCAAAAAUGGCUCAUCAACCCAUUUGAGACAUGAUUAAUUAUCAUCUGUGAGAUACAUUCAUAUCAAUUCAAUAGGUUAAAUAACAAUGAGUAACCAAAAAAAAAAACAAUUUAUACAACUAUCCAGAAAUCUUAAGUCUUGCAGAAAAAGCACAACGAUAGUAACAUUGGUAAGGAUUGGGAUAUGACUCUGAAAUCUUUGCCAUGAUAUCAACCCCGCACAAAAACAUCUCUAACACACACAAAAAUGUUCUUCUUCUUUUUUUUUUUAUUUUUUUUUUUUUUUUUUUUUUUGUAAACACACAAAAAUGUUCUUCUUUGUUGAGGAUUUGAUGUUCAGAGUGGAAAUUUUGGAUGCAUUACUCAUUGUUCAACUUCAUUUUAAUGUUUUUCAAUCAAAACUUCAAUGUGAUUCAAUUUGAUUAAAACCAGAACAGAUUUGAACCAGAGUUUUUUUAGGGUUCUUACAUUUAAGAUUUAAAUUGGGGAUUUUAUGAACAAAUACUGAUAUUUGGGUUACGGUUAGGUAUUGACUCGACCUUAGUUUUUAAUUUGUUUUCGUCAAUGAGUUUC